UAGGGAAUAUUAGUAAUGGGCGAAAGCCUGAACUAGCAACGCCGCGUGUGCGAAGAAGGCCUUCGGGUUGUAAAGCACUUUUUGAGAGGAUGAGGAAGGACGGUACUCUCAGAAUAAGUCUCGGCUAACUACGUGCCAGCAGCCGCGGUAACACGUAGGAGGCGAACGUUAUCCGGAUUUACUGGGCGUAAAGCGCGUGUAGGUGGUUUGGUAAGUAGGGCGUGAAAGCUCCUGGCUCAACUGGGAGAGGCCGUUCUAAACUGCCGAACUAGAGGAUGGUAGAGGGAGGUGGAAUUCCGGGUGUAGCGGUGGAAUGCGCAGAUAUCCGGAGGAACACCAGUGGCGAAAGCGGCCCCCUGGACCACUCCCGACACUCAGACGCGAAAGCUAGGGUAGCAAACGG
rnacentral:rRNA from 1 species